rnacentral:lncRNA from 1 species
GUGAGGCUCUUGGUUUGUACUGUGAUCUGAACCAUGACUGAAUUAAGACUCAACAGGUUGGAUGAUGCCCCAGAUACUGCCCAGGUUGGUGAGGGCGGAUCUUCUGUACUCAGUCUACUGAUUCAAAUGCUAAAGUCUUCCAGAAACACCCUCAUAGUCAGAAGUAAUGUUGACCACCUAUCGGUUCAGAGUCGUGACACUUCAAGAGGUGGGCAGAUUAUUCAUUUGUGAAUGAACAGCAUUUAUGAGAAAUUUGGAGAAAUUUUAUGUUUGAGAGACACGAAGAAUCCAGAGCUUUCCAAAACAGACUGAUGAUCACACCCACCGGGGAGUUUAUGAAAAUGCAAGCCCCUGGAGCACGGGCCUCUGCUGGAUAUUCGGAAUCAUGGGGCUGAGUAGGGCCAGGAAUCUGUACUUUUAGAACAGCCAUAUUAUCUAAAGUAUAUAGUCAUUCCCAGUCCAAGCUCUGUAAAUCCUGAAGAGAAAAAUCUAAAAACUGCAUAUCCGGA